UGGGGAAUAUUGCACAAUGGGCGAAAGCCUGAUGCAGCGACGCCGCGUGAGGGAUGACGGCCUUCGGGUUGUAAACCUCUUUCAGCAGGGACGAAGCGCAAGUGACGGUACCUGCAGAAGAAGCACCGGCUAACUACGUGCCAGCAGCCGCGGUAAUACGUAGGGUGCAAGCGUUGUCCGGAAUUACUGGGCGUAAAGAGUUCGUAGGCGGUUUGUCGCGUCGGUUGUGAAAACCAGCAGCUCAACUGCUAGCGUGCGGGCGAUAUGGGCAGACUUGAGUACUGCAGGGGAGACUGGAAUUCCUGGUGUAGCGGUGGAAUGCGCAGAUAGCAGGAGGAACACCGGUGGCGAAGGCGGGUCUCUGGGCAGUAAAUGACGCUGAGGAACGAAAGCGUGAGUAGCGAACAGG
rnacentral:rRNA from 1 species